CAGCGAUUUUGUGUAGGCAUCGGCGUCAAUGAGGCAUCCAACAAGCAGCUUUGCAAUCCCUGCAAAUAUCUUCCGAUUCCAUGUGUGCAUCGGCACGUCUGGAAGCCGAAUCCAAAGGGGAACUCUAGAGACGCCUCGAUUUUCAAGGAUUUUCCAUGCUCCCACUUACAUGCCACCAAAAACUUCCCACUGACACGCCAUCGCCCUGAGAUCAAAAUUUCUUCCAAUGCUGCUUCCGAAGAGGCAGGAAUCAAGAAGAGUCCCUUCUGUAACAUGGUGAAUCUUAUUAUAAUCCCCAAAUCGCUCCAUUGAUUACGCAGAUCCUUGAAUCUAUCUGCCAUCUCAAUUCGAACCCUAAGAUUGCCCCCAAUAAGAGAACCAAUAGCUGACCAACGAAAGGGGUGAACAAGCCUUUCGUGUUCUUCCAUUGGUAUCACCAGUGCUCUCUUGCCAUUGAUUUCAUGAACGCCAAGGUUCGGCAAAUCCAAAGCAUAUUCCCAUUCCAGGUCGUUUUUACCUUCAGCAAUUGACGCCCAAGAUUUCUUGGGGGCAGAAUCAGUUUUUCAUCUUGCAGUCGAUCCUCCUCCUUCAACACCUGCAACUCCUGGAGAUCUCCAUUUGCUGGAUCGAUCAACAGUAGUUGGUGACGAGGAUGGCAGAUGUCCAAAACCCUCAUCAAGCACGCAAUCGUUCACCCAAGCCCUUCCCAAAGGUUCAAACAUUCUCUCUCUUUCGUGUUCCACCAAAUAAGUUUCAGCGGAUGUUCUUGCUAAAGUCUGAAUUUUGGUUCUUUGUUUUAGAAGCGACUUAUAUGCGACAAGUGAGGAUCCAUACCAGGGACGGUGUCAACCUGUACUACACCAGGAAGCUUUGUCGACCCAGCCAUAACCACUGGAUUGAGUCCACGUAAAACGAAGAAAGGAAUUACUUGCCACCAUUCAAGAUGCAAGAUCCUAAGAGAGUGGAGUCAUUGACGAAGAAGGAUUGGAACGAGCACUCACAGCGCAAGUAACGUGCCA